CAGGAACUAGAAGGCAAAUAAAAACUUAUGUUUAAAAAAAAAAGUAACUUUAUUUUUUUAGCUACUUGUGCUAUUUUCUGUUUGUGGGGGAGUUACACUCAUGCAUAAGUCACUCAGCUAUUUGUCCAGAGAUGUUCACCUGUAUUUUUAUCGCUCUAAAACUUAGGUCCAAGUAAGACAUUGGUGAACAGCUGCCAUCAGCUACAACAGAAAUAUCUGAAACUCUGCUCUCCUCCUCUAGCAUUGCUUCAUUUGCUGCAAAUCCAAUGCAAGCCAAAGCAGCAGAACCCUGGACUGCAGAAAUGGUUUUUCAUGGUGAAUCUAUUUCCACUUUGAAAGGCUGGAAGCAGCUGUAGGAAAUUCUGCAGCAAUUAAGAAAAUGAACUUCGGGCUCUGAGGGGACAGGAUGUGAUGCCACAAUGGGAAGUUUGCGUGGUGAUGGAGAUUGCUUUAAUGUUGAGAAAUUUGAGCUAUUUCAAACAAAGCCUCAGGGAAUGCAUCAUGAUUCUGGAUGCUGUCAGCUGUGAUGGCGAGGAUCACCAACCCUUUUUUCAAAAAUUACCAGGUUGUGAGCAGACAGAUGUAUCCGGGGCCACGUGAUUUAAAGAGGUAUAUAAGGAGUUUGCCUUAUUAGUACUGAACACCUGAAGUUCUAGAAGCACAGUUUAUUGCAGAUGGAGAGUAGAUGCUUUUAGGUAAUUUUUGUAGUUGCCAUAGAGUGCUUGUUGAGGACAUAGGAGGAAUCAGCAGCAC
rnacentral:lncRNA from 1 species